rnacentral:rRNA from 1 species
CAGGGGAUGACUUGUGGAUAGGGGUGAAAGGCUAAUCAAGCCUGGUGAUAGCUGGUUCUCCCCGAAAGCUAUUUAGGUAGCGCCUCGGACGAAUACCAUAGGGGGUAGAGCACUGUUUCGGCUAGGGGGUCAUCCCGACUUACCAAACCGAUGCAAACUCCGAAUACCUAUGAGUACUAUCCGGGAGACAGACUGCGGGUGCUAACGUCCGUAGUCAAGAGGAAAACAAUCCAGACCGCCAGCUAAGGCCCCAAAAUCAUAGUUAAGUGGGAAACGAUGUGGGAAGGCAUAGACAGCUAGGAGGUUGGCUUAGAAGCAGCCACCCUUUAAAGAAAGCGUAAUAGCUCACUAGUCGAGUCGGCCUGCGCGGAAGAUGUAACGGGGCUAAAACUAUGUGCCGAAGCUGCGGACGUAUACUUUGUAUACGUGGUAGGGGAGCGUUCUGUAAGCCGAUGAAGGUGUGUUGAGAAGCAUGCUGGAGGUAUCAGAAGUGCGAAUGCUGACGUGAGUAACGACAAAACGGGUGAAAAACCCGUUCGCCGAAAGACCAAGGGUUCCAGUCCAACGUUAAUCGGGGCUGGGUGAGUCGACCCCUAAGGCGAGGCCGAAAGGCGUAGUCGAUGGGAAAAUGGUUAAUAUUCCAUUACUUCUGUGUAAUGCGAUGAGAGGACGGAGAAGGCUAAAUCAGCCUGGCGUUGGUUGUCCAGGUGAAAGGAUGUAGGCAUGUAUCUUAGGCAAAUCCGGGGUACUCUAUGCUGAGAUCUGAUAGCAAGCUGUACUUGUACAGCGAAGUGGUUGAUGCCAUGCUUCCAGGAAAAGUCUCUAAGCUUCAGUUACACAGGAAUCGUACCCGAAACCGACACAGGUGGUCAGGUCGAGUAGACCAAGGCGCUUGAGAGAACUCUGCUGAAGGAACUAGGCAAAAUGGUACCGUAACUUCGGGAGAAGGUACGCUGUUGUUGGUGAUGGAACUCGCUUCCUGAGCUGACGACAGCCGCAGAAACCAGGCCGCUGCAACUGUUUAUUAAAAACAUAGCACUCUGCAAACACGAAAGUGGACGUAUAGGGUGUGAUGCCUGCCCGGUGCUGGAAGGUUAAUUGAUGGGGUUAGCGUAAGCGAAGCUCUUGAUCGAAGCCCCAGUAAACGGCGGCCGUAACUAUAACGGUCCUAAGGUAGCGAAAUUCCUUGUCGGGUAAGUUCCGACCUGCACGAAUGGCAUAAUGAUGGCGGCGCUGUCUCCAGCAGAGGCUCAGUGAAAUCGAAAUCGCUGUGAAGAUGCAGUGUACCCGCGGCUAGACGGAAAGACCCCGUGAACCUUUACUGCAGCUUGACACUGAACUUUGACCUUACUUGUGUAGGAUAGGUGGGAGGCUUUGAAGCUGGAACGCUAGUUCCAGUGGAGCCGUCCUUGAAAUACCACCCUGGUAAUGUUGAGGUUCUAACUCUGUCCCGUGAUCCGGGACGAGGACCGUGUCUGGUGGGUAGUUUGACUGGGGCGGUCUCCUCCUAAAGAGUAACGGAGGAGUACGAAGGUGCGCUCAGCGUGGUCGGAAAUCACGCGUAGAGUAUAAAGGCAAAAGCGCGCUUAACUGCGAGACCCACAAGUCGAGCAGGUACGAAAGUAGGUCUUAGUGAUCCGGUGGUUCUGUAUGGAAGGGCCAUCGCUCAACGGAUAAAAGGUACUCUGGGGAUAACAGGCUGAUACCGCCCAAGAGUUCAUAUCGACGGCGGUGUUUGGCACCUCGAUGUCGGCUCAUCUCAUCCUGGGGCUGAAGCAGGUCCCAAGGGUAUGGCUGUUCGCCAUUUAAAGAGGUACGCGAGCUGGGUUUAGAACGUCGUGAGACAGUUCGGUCCCUAUCUACCGUGGGCGCUGGAAAUUUGAGAGGAUCUGCUCCUAGUACGAGAGGACCAGAGUGGACGAACCUCUGGUGUACCGGUUGUGACGCCAGUCGCAUCGCCGGGUAGCUAUGUUCGGAAGGGAUAACCGCUGAAAGCAUCUAAGCGGGAAGCCUACCUCAAGAUAAGAUUUCCCUAGGACUUUAUGUCCUCUAAAGAGCCGUUCGAGACUAGGACGUUGAUAGGUUGGAUGUGGAAGCAUAGUGAUAUGUGAAGCUGACCAAUACUAAUUGCUCGUGAGGCUUG